UACGUAGGGUGCGAGCGUUAAUCGGAAUUACUGGGCGUAAAGCGUGCGCAGGCGGUUUUGUAAGUCUGAUGUGAAAUCCCCGGGCUCAACCUGGGAAUUGCAUUGGAGACUGCAAGGCUGGAGUCUGGCAGAGGGGGGUAGAAUUCCACGUGUAGCAGUGAAAUGCGUAGAGAUGUGGAGGAACACCGAUGGCGAAGGCAGCCCCCUGGGUCAAGACUGACGCUCAUGCACGAAAGCGUGGGGAGCAAACAGG
rnacentral:rRNA from 1 species